CUUUUAUCGACUUUACACCGACUCAAGAUUGGUGUAAACACAUGCCAUACAAGAGGUUCGCGGAAGCGAUUAUCAUGGCCUCAAAAAAAUAUAAGAUUGCUUACAGCAAGAAACGUUCUUGAUGGGCGGAGGAUAUCUUUAAGUGGGAACAUACAAUUCAGACUGGUGUUCCAAUUGACUUAAGAGGGUUUAAUACCAGCUACCUCGUUCUACAAGCUAUGGCCAUGUGGGGGAAUGACAGACGACUGAAAUUUGUUGGGGAUGCAAAGACUCUUCGAAAGAACUUUGUGAUUGAUCUGUUAAGUUAUGAGGAUAAUUCGUGC